rnacentral:rRNA from 1 species
AGCGAACGCUGGCGGCAGGCCUAACACAUGCCAGUCGAACGAACUCUUCGGAGUUAGUGGCGGACGGGUGAGUAACACGUGGGAACGUGCCUUUUGGUUCGGAAUAACUCAGGGAAACUUGUGCUAAUACCGAAUGUGCCCUUCGGGGGAAAGAUUUAUCGCCAUUAGAGCGGCCCGCGUCUGAUUAGCUAGUUGGUGAGGUAACGGCUCACCAAGGCGACGAUCAGUAGCUGGUCUGAGAGGAUGACCAGCCACACUGGGACUGAGACACGGCCCAGACUCCUACGGGAGGCAGCAGUGGGGAAUCUUGCGCAAUGGGCGAAAGCCUGACGCAGCCAUGCCGCGUGAAUGAUGAAGGUCUUAGGAUUGUAAAAUUCUUUCACCGGGGACGACAAUGACGGUACCCGGAGAAGAAGCCCCGGCUAACUUCGUG